rnacentral:rRNA from 1 species
CUACGGGGGGCAGCAGUGGGGAAUAUUGGACAAUGGGGGAAACCCUGAUCCAGCAAUGCCGCGUGUGUGAAGAAGGCCUGCGGGUUGUAAAGCACUUUCGGUUGGGAGGACUGCUUCUAGCACUAAUAUUGUUGGAAGUUGACGUUACCUUCAGAAGAAGCGCCGGCUAACUCCGUGCCAGCAGCCGCGGUAAUACGGAGGGUGCAAGCGUGUAAUCGGAAUUACUGGGCGUAAAGCGCGCGUAGGCGGCUAGAUCAGUCGGGUGUGAAAGCCCCGGGCUUAACCUGGGAACUGCAUCCGAUACUGUCUAGCUCGAGUACAGGAGAGGAGAGUGGAAUUCCACAUGUAGCGGUGAAAUGCGUAGAUAUGUGGAGGAACACCAAUGGCGAAGGCAGCUCUCUGGCCUGAUACUGACGCUGAGGUGCGAAAGCGUGGGGAGCAAACAGGAUUAGAUACCCGAGUAGUC